CCAUGCCUCGCCUGCAUGGCUGGACGCCGCCAUCUCCACCACCACGUACAAGAAAACGGUGGGCAGAACCAUCCAUUCAAAUCGCACACCCCCACCCUCCUCCGCAAUCCCUAGCCUCGCAUCACCCUAUCGCUUUCUCGCCUCUCUUUCCCCUCGAUGUAGAUGGUGCCGAGCGGCGGCCUCGAGCACUGGCAGUGCCGCCCUCUCUAUCUUCGCCGCGUCGAGAGAUGGGCCGAGGCUAUCGUCGGUUCGCCGCCCACGAUUGGGCCGCCUCCGGUUGUCGCGCACCACCGGCUCCACCUAACGUGCCCGACCCUCUCCGCUUUUGACCUUCCGGCGACCACAUCCCUCCGCGCCUCCAUCCAUCAUCCACAAGGCCACUCCCUGCACCCACCCUCCUAGAUUCUCCAUACCGGGGGACAAUCACUGAAGAUCCAAGCAAGAAGCGCUUCUACAUGCAUCCUCCUGUCGGUCCCUAAAGUACCAAGGUAAAUGGUUGAUACUGUGUUUGUCUAGGAUGAUAUAUGUUGGCUCUGUUCCGGUUCAUCCGAGCAGUUUGCUGACUAAUUUACUGAUAAUUUAAUCAUAUUAAUUAAAUGAGUCGGGUGUAUCAUCGUGCAUUUAUCUUGCCAGUAAUGUUCUGUGAUGCUUUGAUGCACUUUGGGAAUUGUUUAUCUUGUCUUCAGUGCAGAACAUUUGUUUAUUAAUGCAUUAGAAGAAUCCUUGUUACUACCUUGAACCUGUUUUAUUACUGAAGUAAGUACCCGACCUCUAAAUUGCUACAUUACCUUGUAGAUUGUAUACACUCAUUCUCUUAUGAUUUUGUGGUUGUA